rnacentral:rRNA from 1 species
AUUGAACGCUGGCGGCAGGCCUAACACAUGCAAGUCGAACGGUAACAGGAAGCAGCUUGCUGCUUUGCUGACGAGUGGCGGACGGGUGAGUAAUGUCUGGGAAGCUGCCUGAUGGAGGGGGAUAACUACUGGAAACGGUAGCUAAUACCGCAUAACGUCGCAAGACCAAAGAGGGGGACCUUCGGGCCUCUUGCCAUCGGAUGUGCCCAGAUGGGAUUAGCUAGUAGGUGGGGUAACGGCUCACCUAGGCGACGAUCCCUAGCUGGUCUGAGAGGAUGACCAGCCACACUGGAACUGAGACACGGUCCAGACUCCUACGGGAGGCAGCAGUGGGGAAUAUUGCACAAUGGGCGCAAGCCUGAUGCCGCCAUGCCGCGUGUAUGAAGAAGGCCUUCGGGUUGUAAAGUACUUUCAGCGGGGAGGAAGGGAGUAAAGUUAAUACCUUUGCUCAUUGACGUUACCCGCAGAAGAAGCACCGGCUAACUCCGUG